CUUAGCCUUAGGGAAAGGCUUUUUUCUGAAAAUCAGAUUCUUCAUUUAGCCAUUUUCUUUUCUCUCUCUAGAAAACCCUUUCUCCUAAUUUUUGUGCCUUCUCUCUAAAAUCCCAAAUCAUUACACCGAUCAAAUUUUGAUUUGAAGGUGUUUCCGCGCUCACUACACCAAGGGCUUCAAUUUGAACCCAACGUUUUUCUAUUCCGACCAGUUCUGUAAGCUCAACGCUGAGUGGGUUCCUGUAAGGGCGUUUUCAAUUAGCUGCUCUUUGAGAAAACCAGAUGGCGAGAAGGCUACUUUGGAAACAACUCUUGAUGGGGAUGACAGUGCUGCAGUCUUGUCUACUAGGCUUCACUUGAUUAGCCUUUUAUUUUGAAGAACUUAUCAUGUUCUAAGUUUUAAUUUCAUGUAUUUUCAGAGAGAAACUUUAGUACUCCACUUC